GGACCCGCACAAGCGGUGGAUGAUGUGGAUUAAUUCGAUGCAACGCGAAAAACCUUACCUACCCUUGACAUGCCAGGAACUUUCCAGAGAUGGAUUGGUGCCCGAAAGGGAGCCUGGACACAGGUGCUGCAUGGCUGUCGUCAGCUCGUGUCGUGAGAUGUUGGGUUAAGUCCCGCAACGAGCGCAACCCUUGUCAUUAAUUGCCAUCAUUUAGUUGGGCACUUUAAUGAGACUGCCGGUGACAAACCGGAGGAAGGUGGGGAUGACGUCAAGUCCUCAUGGCCCUUAUGGGUAGGGCUUCACACGUCAUACAAUGGUCGGUACAAAGGGUUGCCAAGCCGCGAGGUGGAGCUAAUCUCAGAAAGCCGAUCGUAGUCCGGAUUGCAGUCUGCAACUCGACUGCAUGAAGUCGGAAUCGCUAGUAAUCGUGGAUCAGCAUGUCACGGUGAAUACGUUCCCGGGUCUUGUACACACCGCCCGUCACACCAUGGGAGUGGGUUCUACCAGAAGUAGUUAGCCUAACCGUAAGGAGGGCGAUUACCACGGUAGGAUUCAUGACUGGGGUGAAGUCGUAACAAGGUAGCCGUAUCGGAAGGUGCGGCU
rnacentral:rRNA from 1 species